rnacentral:rRNA from 1 species
GACAGAGGGUGCAAACGUUGUUCGGAAUUACUGGGCGUAAAGCGAGUGUAGGCGGUGUGGUAAGUCGGAUGUGAAAGCCCCGGGCUCAACCCGGGAAGUGCACUCGAUACUGCCACGCUAGAGUAUCGGAGAGGUUGGUGGAAUUCUCGGUGUAGAGGUGAAAUGCGUAGAGAUCCGGAGGAACACCAAAGGCGAAGGCAGUGUCCUGGGGAGUACCUGACGCUCAGGUGCGAAAGCCAGGGGAGCGAACGGG